AAUUCUGAGUAACUAUGUUCUGCAGGAGGGUUAUUUUGUAGUCAUUCUGUUGAUCUUCUUAUGUUAGCUCUAAAUAUAAUUGCUCGGUUUGUAAUCAUUCUUUCUCAUAUAAUUACAAUGAAUAUAAUGAUUCCUACAAUAGAAAUUGUAGACCCAAUUCUUGAUACUACGUUUCAUGAUGUAUAUGCGUCUGGGUAGUCAGAGUAUCGUCGAGGUAUUCCUGCUAAUCCUAGGAAGUGUUGAGGAAAGAAUGUUAAAUUUACUCCAAUGAAUAUAAUUGUAAAUUGGAUUUUUAAUCAUGUAUUAUUUAUAGUUAAUCCUGUAAAUAGUGGAUAUCAUUGAAUGACACCUCCUAUAAUUGCAAAUACUGCUCCUAUAGGUAAUACAUAAUGAAAGUGGGCUACUACAUAAUAUGUAUCAUGUAAUACAAUAUCAAGUGAUGAAUUUGCUAAUACUAAUCCUGUUAAUCCACCAAUUGUAAAUAGGAAAAUAAAUCCUAGAGCUCAUAAUAAUGGUGGAUUGAACUUGAAUUUAGUUCCAUAUAAUGUAGCUAAUCAUCUAAAUACCUUAAUUCCUGUAGGUACAGCAAUAAUUAUUGUUGCUGAUGUAAAAUAUGCUCGUGUGUCAACAUCCAUUCCUACUGUAAAAAUAUGAUGUGCUC